AGCCUUCUAAAUCCUUGCCGGGAUUUCAUUAGACACCAGAUCAUCAGUACUGAUGGAACUCCCAAGAUAAUUGAAGUG
rnacentral:pre_miRNA from 1 species